rnacentral:lncRNA from 1 species
GAGAGGUAUGUUGGACUGGAUUUUUAAAACAAUUGCUGAUCCUGGUGGUCCUUGGGAGAUUAUUCUAUUAAUUCUCAAGAAAGCAGAACUUACUUCUCUGUUAUAAAUAUGAUGAAAUUACAGGCACAGAAGAAGGUAAUGAAAACUUUCUAGUGGUUUAAACCAAUUGUUUUACUUGGCUUCAUAUUUUUUGUUUCCAUCAGGUGAGGUGUUGCAUUUGUUAAAGGUAGUCAGUAGACCACAAAAAAGGUUAUUUCCAAAACUCUCAGCCAAGCACGUUUAUUGACCACUCAAUAGCUAUGAUCCCAAAAUGUAAAAAUAAAUAAAGGAAUAAAUUUAAGUGAAUCAACCAAGCCACAUGUGUUUUAUUUUUGUCCUUUGGUUUGUUGGCAUCUAAGUCUGUUCACCAUGAGGAGGUGUGUGUACUCGUGGUUUCAUUUCUACUAGAAGUUCCAUGCCAAAACAGUCCCACCAUCAUAAAGAUUCCAUAACUUCUUGAUUCAGUCGUCUGCGGUGGGGCUCGGAAAUCAAUACUUUCAAAAAGUUCUCCAAGGGACUCACAUCCACGCUCGUCUUGGAAACCAUGAAUUGAGAGCGCUCCACAGCAGGUGGCACUUGUGGUGUGAGAGAGACAAAAGCACUUUACGGCAACACUUUAUGACAACCGCUUCACCAAAGGACUGCUCUCAGGCAGCCCCGCGAUUCCAUCGGGCAGGUUCCGCCCUACCCGGGGCUUCCCAUGCUCGCCCUGCAGGACGCGAGGGUCCACGCUCUCCCUGCGUGGACGCCGGUUUGCAUCCUUCGUACUUCCGGGUGUAGCAGCUGGAUCUUGGGCGCAUGCUCAGUUCACAGCUCCGCUGCCUUGUCUGAUAAACGAGCUGAUUUUCUGUGCUCAGGGGCGCUGGAGAGAAUGUGCCUAAGAAGGCUCCCCUUUCAAUGCCUGGAACACCUCGUCCUGGGUUUUGAACCUGAAUGUUCUUCAUGGUGGACGAAGUCACCACAUGGCCCCUGCGAGCACCGGAGCCUCCUAAGGGGUGUUUAG